CGCAUUAUGUCCGUUCAAUUCCGACUCAAAGGAUCAAACUACAAUCACACUUAGUGUUGGACAGUCGAAAUGGCACAUUGUACCAACCUUUGAAUCUUAUUCUAAAGGGUGCAGCUUACGGCACAGAUCUACCGAUCUGACGCAGUGCAUUUGAACUUGGUUAUCAAGGUGAAUGUCAAACAAAAUUUAGUUUUAGCUACGAUAAGAACCACUAUUGUCCGCCGUCUGGCUCUGUGAUUGGGGUUAGUGUUCCUUCAUCGUUCUAGGUUUUCGAUGUCAGCCCACUAUGGGCAUUCGCAACUCAAACAUUUGCUGGACUCGUCAAUGGGCUCGGCCAUUGACUUUAGAAAAGCAAAAAAUUUUCUUGUGUCUGUUGAUCGUACUUUUCUUGUUGAUUCAACCUGCCAAACACGGGGUUUUAGGAAGUGAAAUCCACCAGCAUCCAGAAAAUUUUCUUAAAGAAGAGGGGACCAAGGGACUCAGGGUGUUACCUGCAAACUGGACAGAUACAAGGGUGCAACCUUCAAAUGCUAUGACUUGCCUUUCAUCCGACGAUACGCGUGAAAACAACUGCGUCCAAGUGAUUCAGGCCAGUUUCAGCCAGACCUAUUCCAAGACAUUUAACAGCUCAUUAGAAUUUCGUCUGAUAUAUUCUUAUUCCGAUCCCCACAAAAAUUUUGCUGUCAGCGUAGACAGUUCCGAUGCUGACGUAGAACAUCCCAUUCUGUUUGUUGUGCGACAACAGAAAGCCGUAACUUCGUGGGAGUUGCCAUAUGUCUUGGAAUCGUCUUUCGGCUACCAAAGAAGAUAUAAUACCUUUAGAAGAACAUUAUGUCCUCAGCCUACGAGACGUGCAGAAUCGGUCAAUCAAAUUGUUGUUGAUGUUUCAACUUCGAGCCGAUCGAAUGUCACCUUCAGCCUCAAAAUGACGGUCGAUAGUCAAUUGUUUGUGCGAUUAGACGAAGAGCGUCGCAUGUCGGUCACCCCUUCACAAAACCGCAUAUUUAAAUUCACAUUUCCCACGUCAGUGACACAAGUGGCUGUAACGUCCAAAUCUCUCGACGAUGUUUGUCUGACAGUAUCGGUGCAAAGUCCUAAAUGCCCGAUUUUCGACACAAUUUACAAUGUUGAAUACGAAGGUUUCCGACAAACAAUGACCGGCCAGUCCACCAUAAUCGUUCAGAAAGAACAAUAUCCGGAAGGUUUUUACCUGGUCUACAUCGUCAACACGGAUGACGAAAAAUGCGUUAAUAGCCGGACUUUAGCGCCAUUGAGAACUAACCGCACGAAAGAAGUCACUUUCACUAUCCAGGAAACGGUGUCUGUCCAACAAUUCCGUAAUGUGAUCUUUAUUGCGACGUUGGGCGUCUACGCGGGAUUCAUCGUCUUGAUUAUCGCCACAUGCGUCCUAGUUGAAUUUAGAAGGAAUAAAACCAAGCAGGCACGGCGAGAGUGGGAGGCGACGGUGAAAAUCCACAAAUCCGAGCUGGAACCGAUCUCUGAAGUACCCGAGUUUCAAAUCAGCGAAACCACCAAGACGGAAAACGGACAUCUGGACUUGAGCUGUCACGCAGAAACGACAUCUAAUGACGCCGAUGAUGUCUUUAGCGACACCACCAACCCGAUUCGCCCGACAAGACAAGAAAAUAAACUCACCAGUAAACGAUGGAGACGUGUUUCUGAGAUGACCAAACAUCAAGCGGAUUUCUACAACAAAAAAUCGAAACGCUACGUAUCGGAACUAUGCAUCAUUGCCGUGUUCUACCUCAUCCCAGCAAUCCAGCUCGUUUGGAACCACAAAGACAUGAUGGUGACAACGGGAGAUCAGGACAUGUGCUAUUACAAUUUCGCCUGCGCGUAUCCGUACCAUCUGUUAAUCGACUUUGCGGACUUUAAUCACUUUUUCUCCAAUAUCGGUUACGUCGUUUUGGGGACCACUUUCGUGUUCAUUACGAAACGUCGGGAUUACAUUCACACGAUGAUGAUGCGUAAGCAGAACGCCGUCGGUGAGCAGAGAGGUAUUCCGCCUCAUUACGGCUUGUCUUAUUCCAUGGGAUUCGGGCUGAUUGUUGAGGGGAUUCUCAGCGCCUGCUAUCACCUGUGUCCGACUCGCAUGAAUUACCAAUUCGAUACCUCAUUUAUGUACGUAUUAGCAGUGCUGUGCACCCUGAAACUGUAUCACGCCCGUCACGCCGAUAUUAACGUCAAAUCUCACAUGGCCUACAUCGUUCUGGCCCUGCUGGUGCUUCUCGGGGCCGGCACGGCCUUCACUAGUGAAUUCUACUUCAAAUUGGGUUUCACUGUGGUCCACCUAAUCGCCUGCGUCGCUCUGGCCAUCGACGUUUACUACAUGGGUCAUUGGAAGUUAGACAAAGAAACAAUGGUGGAACACGUCAACACCUGUUGGAAGUCACGACCGCUGUAUCUAGAGCGCUUGACCUUGGUGGUCGUUGGGGUCGUUUGCAACGUAGCAUUCGCCGUCACCCAACUGGUGAUAGACAGCGUUGAUUUCAACACGCACCUGCUGGCUGUCUUCAUGAUCAACCUCUUUGUCUAUUCCGUUUUUUACGUCAUCAUGAAGAUGCACAAGCGGGAGUGGGCCUUCGUCACGCACCGCAUCUACCCUUUCUUGUUUCUCCUGGCGGCCCUGGCGUUUUGGCUGACCGGUUCUUAUUUCUUUUUGAAAAAAGCGGCCAAGUGGGAGGUACGUAAGACACGCAAAGACCCCAAGAGAGAAAGUUGCGCUGUUGUUGUUGUCUGUUGCUUCUGAAUAAGCCGUAAGCGCAGGUAUGUGUAGACGGUCGCUGCCAUAGCAGCGGCUGCGACAUCGACGACGGGUGCAGCAAACCAGCAGCAGCUGGCCGGCGACUCCUCAGGGGCGUGCCGUCCACAGUCUGACCGCACCAUUACAUCCUCAAAAGUCCAGCCGAGUCGCGGAUGCUCAAUCAAGAAUGUCUGGUGGCUAAUGUUUAUGACACGCAUGACUUGUGGCAUUUUCUAUCAUCGACAGGUCUUUUUUUCUUCUUUAUGUUCCUGUUGACGCUGGACGACGACAUUGAAUCGAAAUCACGACGAGAUAUUCCGGUUUUUUGAAUGGAU
rnacentral:misc_RNA from 1 species